UUAUAGGAUUUUUUAAAAUCCAUAUAUAACAUCACACUUAAAGCAU
rfam:Ictidomys tridecemlineatus contig118178, whole genome shotgun sequence.